CUUCCAUUAGUUCACUGUUGUAGCCUAAACAUAUAUUCAAAAGGCUAAGUCUAAGAAAUCAAGUUGAACCCCAUCAUGAGUUGAAACAUCAAUAUAUAUAUAGUCUUAGGUCUCUACUUUUUAUAUUUUGUUGUAAGAGAUGUAUAAAUACUCUGUCACGUCCGGUCUAUGUUUUAGUUAGUUUUUUUCUGUUUGUAUCGAUCUGAUGAGACAAGCCAUUUUCAACUGGCUUCUAUAGUUUGUUCAUAUGUUAGAAGGUUGAGCGCUCACAAACAUGUUUAAACCCGCCACAUUAUGUAUGCGCCUGUCUUUUGUAUAGAACCUGCAAUUUAGUGGUUGUAAUGGUUCAUGUCAUUAAUUUUUGUUUUUCCCAAUUGAUUUGUGAAUUAUGCCGUUAUUUUUCUCAAUUUAUUUGUUUCACUUUUUAUUUAUGUCUUGGCCUUUCAUAAUCGACUUUAAGGUAUCGGCUUUUGUCAUUGUUGAAAGGUCGUACCGUUACCUCUUAUUGCUAACAUCUACUAAAUAUGAACUUUGGUGGAAAGUUGUCUCAUUGGCAAUCAUACAACAUCGCCUUAUAUUUAUAAUCUUAGGAAAGGUAUAGGAAAUAGUAAGGAAAUUGGAAAUAUAUAUGCACGCCAUUUAAUAAAAUUCAUGCUAGUGCUUUAUUACAGAAAAUAACAUGCAAAACAUUAAACGUUUGAAGUUGUAAAUUGUGUUAAAGCUUGCGGAAGAAUAUCUCAAAAACGUUUUACGACACUCCCGAUAAGGACCGGUAACUCUGUAUUUUUUUGCGGGAAAAUAUGAAUGGCUUCUCAUAUCUAAUCUUUCAGAAAAAUCGAUUUCUUACAAAAGAGUGUCCACCAUGCACUUACACUGCACUAUUAAAAGCAUAGUAGAAUAUAUUGAUAUACAAAUGGAUGAAAUAUAAAAAAAGAAGAUGUGCAUGGUAUGAUUGCCAAUGAGACAACUAUCCACAAAAGACCAAAAUGACACAAACAUUAACAACUAUAGGUCACCGUAAGGCCUUCAACAAUGAGCAAAGCCCAUACCGCGUAGUCAGCUAUAAAAGGCCCCGAUAAGACAAUGUAAAACAAUUCAAACGAGAAAACUAACGGCC
rnacentral:lncRNA from 1 species